rnacentral:lncRNA from 1 species
CUGACAUGAAAGAUGUGCUUUCAAAAUCGUAUCGCGAGCGAUGCGUUUUAACGUUCAGAACGAGGGGUUCUUAACAAAACUCCCUCGGCCAGAAUAUACUAUCAUCAAUAGGCGCCAAAGGAAGUUAGCGUCUAUGAAUGGUUGCCUGGGAGGAGAAUGCAGAACCCUGCAUUACCUCAACACCAGUUAAGGAAGGGGAAGGGAAAGGUAAUUGGAACGGAACAGAGGGAGAGAGGACAUACAAUCUCAAUUCAUCUUUCUUCGAUUCCUUGCAUCAUAUCGCCUUGCCUCCUUUUCAACUGUAUCAGAGUAUGUUACGCAGGGAUGGGAGAAGGGGGAUAAUUCGGAUAACACCCCUCCUGGAUUCUGCAGCCCAUUUUGCAUGACUGUGGAAGGGUUCUUUGAUUUCCAAAUCUCUGUCAUUCUCUCUAUCAUAAUUCCAAUGGAUAUGUUGUGGAUGAUAUGAGUGGGUGUAAUGGAUUAAAACCAGUGUGAGGAUGUGGACUAUUUACUACAAGAUGAAGAUUCAAUCACAGUAGGGGUCAUUAACCCAGUCUUGAUUGUGGAAAUUCUGAGUGUCACGUCUUUUAUUGGACUUAACACUGCUCUGCAGAGAUGAUCAACAAAACAUCCACCCAGAGAACUAGGGGUGAAAUCAUUACGCCGAUUCUCUUGCAAAAUGUUUUGCAACAGAAAUGGUUUACUCCAAAUGGAAAACACAAACUAGAGUUUAUAUUGGACAAAUUCAGUCCCUGUUUUCUAGUUCUUCCGGUUUUGACCAUUCUGCCUGCCCAGAGCCUGCCUGCCGUUCUGUACUUUACGGACUCUGUCCUGGAUUACCGACCUCUGCCUGCCCUUGACCUGUCGUUUGCCUGCCUCCUGUUUUGUUAAUAAACUUCUGUGAUUCGAAC